CCUUUUAUCUCUCUCUCUUCUUACACUCACAGAGAGCUCUUAUCUCUCAUACCCAGCCAACUCGAUCCCCCCAAACAACUCCAUCCCUCUCAACUCCCCUAAUCUCUUAUCUCUCAUACCCAGCCCUAAUUGGGUUCACAGCAGAAGAAGAAAUCGAAGAUCUAAGACCUUCUCAUCUUGGCUCUCCUCUUCCUCGACACCUUAGGUCGUGCUGAUCGAGAUUUCGAUAUCCACCCACUACCCCACUGGUCCAAGAAUCCUUAUCUUGGUAUUUCUUCUUCGGCAUCUUGGUUACUGCUUCGCUGUCCUUCGUUACUGCUCUUCUUCUUUUGCCGGUAAAUCUUCUCUCCCUUCUUCAUCUAUUGUUUGUUAUUACUUGAUUUGUUCUUAUUAAUCUUUAUAAAUCGAUUGUUCAUUAUUGCUUUGUUGGUAUUUCUUUUUCAAAUCCCUUUUUUGUUUGAUUAGUGUGAAUUUUUGGUGAUUUCGAAAUAUUAAACCCCUUUUGGUGGUUACUGAGAAUUCUUGGUGAUUUCAUCUAUUGGUGAUUAUUGUGAAUUCUUGGUGAUUUCAAACCCCCUUUUUCAAAUCUCCUUCACUGCUUUUGGUGAUUUUUUGUUGGCAUCCCAAAAUAUGUUGUUAUUAGACUUGGGGAAAAUGCUAUUUAACAAAAUUUCGCAGCUUUGAAGGUUUGUUAUAUAAUGAUUUUGGGGUUUGUACAGUUUGCCUUUCGGUAGGUGAGAGUCCAUAUGCGUUGUUUAUUCCGAAUGUUGUAUAUGGCAUUGUAAGUAAAUUUGGUUGUGCCUUUGCGUUGAAUGAAGAUAAAUCUCUUUUAUUUCUUGUUUCUGUUAUACUUUCCCCCCUGUUAAUUAUGAGGUUCUUAGUUAACUGCCUUGAUCGAAAGUCUAGGAUGAUAUUAAGCGUUUUGUUCACUUGAAGCCAUACUAUUGUUGCCCAAAGAAAUCCUGAAGGCACAAGGAUUAUUCCCAGAUCAGAGAAUUGGAUGAAAAAAGGAGUGCCAAGUGUGUCGAAAAACUUUUCUUACCCUUUUUCUAAGUAGUUCUCAUAGUCUUCUGGUGCUUGAUGUUUCAUAGAUAUGGAACAAAUUGCUUCCUAUUUUCUUGUUGUUACAGUUAGAGAUAUGUUUCAUAGAUUAAUAACAUUAUAUAGUUUAUAAACAGUCUUUAAAAAUAUAAUCUUAGGAAUAAAACACUAAAAAAUCAAAACAAAACAACAUUCAUUAAAUUGGUUAUCCAAUUUGUUAAACAAUUUGUACAUAACAAAAAUUGUUUACAAUAGUAAACAAGAUGAAUAUUGAAUGUAAAUUUUAAUUGUCUAUAAGAGUAUGCAAGUAAAAAUAUCAUUCAACACUACUUCUUACUCAUUCAAUCAUAAAUUUGUACUGAAUCGUUCACACCCAUUCAGAGUUUAAAAAGUGUUAAACAAACGGAUCGAAUAACUUAUUCGGUCAGAUUUAUACUCAUUCAAAGCUUGAAAUAUCAAAGGCCUUGCAUUUUGACACCUCUUUUUACAUGUAAUGUGUAUAACCUCAGGUUUUGGCUGCGGCAGCCAAUGCGGCUUCAUUUCGAGCAAGGCGUCUUGGAAACAUUUGGCAAGAAGUUGAGGGUCAGGGAUUAUAUCUUUAGCCACCAGGAUUUGCAUGUCUGCCCUUCCUGCGUAACUCACCAUGUGCAUUGUAAUUGCCUGCAAUUCCAUCCAAUGUCAAAAGAAAAAGUAUAUAAUUAAUUACAUAAGAAAAAGUAUUAAAAUAAAAAUAUAUAUAUAGACACCAAAUUGGGUUUAGAAGUUUUACAUGGGGGAUGCUUGUGGAAGUCACUCUAAUGUAUUCUACUGGAUUGCCUGCAAUAGUUACCUCCUCCUUGGGACCAACCACAUUUGAGAAAGUGAAAGUUGUAUUACAGCAAAUUCUGUAGUUUAGCAACCCUGGAAACUAGAAUGAAUUAUCAAUAACAAAUGCAAACCAAAACAAGAAAAACCCGAAUGUAACACUUAGUAUUUGGUAGGUAGGGGUUAAAUAUAUAUGCUAGACUCCGGUUUACAAAUGCAUCACUGAACUGAAUUUUUUUACGGUCAAUUCAUGGAACUAUACAUUAUUUACAAAAAAUGAUUUUGUCGUCGUCUAUGUCUGUUAACCAUUUAACAGAAAAUGGACGUGGCAAUACUGACAAGGAGAGAGAAACUGAGUUGGAUAACUAACUAAAUUAUAUUAUACUCAAUUCUCUAACAAAUUGUUAAACAAAAUAUAAAUCAAAUUAAUAUACAUAACAAAUAAUUAAAUUAAAUAAAUAAAUUAAUAAUAAAAUAAAUUAAUGAAUAAUUUUUACAAAUGUAUUUAUAUAAAUUAAUGAAUUCAUAUUUUUUUAAUUUUAUUUUAAAAAUAUGAAAUUAUCUAAUAUUUUGAAAUGAAGGGAUUAUUAUUAUUAUUAUUGUGCGUCUUCUUCUUCUUCUUCUUCAUCACCGUCUGAGCCACCGAACUACAACCACCGAAAUCACGGCUUGACCACUGAAUCACCAAAAUCAGUGCUCAACACCGUCGUCACAUAUGCAAAGCUACCGCCUCACCACCACCACAACCCCACGUUCUAUCUCACUCAUCUCUCCCAUCUCUCUCUAAAUCAAAUCAGGAAGAAUGGAAAUGAAAAAUUUGUGAGAAGAAAUGGCCUAAAUCGAGUCAACUCAAAAAAUAAAAAGAAAUUGAGCCACCUCAAUGGCCUAAAUCAGACCUGUGAAAAGGAAACUAAUAGAAUUUUUGAACUCUGGCCUUGAGAACUAUUGCCAUGGCUUCAGGAAAAAUGGAAAUGAAAGAAGAUGUGGAGAGUCCUCCUCUGUAUUCUCUGCCUCCUUCAAUGGAGGAAUCUGAAUUAGGAAUAUAAAAUCCUCCACCAUUUUCCAAUCAAUUUUCUCUUUCUUCAAAACCAUAUCUGCUUUCACAAAUCUAGAGAGAGAAAUGAAAUGGGAUUUGAAUUUGGAGAGAGAAAUUUAGGUAUUGAUCUGAUUUGGUUUUCUUAAUCUUUUGAUUUGUUUUAAUUUCUUUUUUAACUUUUCUUUUAAUUUGUAAUUUAAUUUUCAAUGUGGCAACAGUUAGGAUGAUAGCACUAUUGGUGAUUUCGAAAUAUUAAACCCCUUUUGGUGGUUACUGUGAAUUCUUGGUGAUUUCAUCUAUUGUUGAUUAUUGUGAAUUUUUUGUGAUUUCAAACCUCAUUUUUCAAAUCUCCUUCACUGCAUUUUGGUGAUUUUUUGUUGGCAUCCCAAAAUAUGUUGUUAUUAGACUUGGGGAAAAUGCAGUGUCUUCUACUGAAUAUAGUUGCAUAAGUUAUUUUGGAAAGAAGUACUAUGUUAUUUUUGUGUUCUAUUGCUCUUGUGUUUGGAAUGUCUCGAGUUGCAACUUUUUCCAGUUAUAUGUAUGCUAAUUAUUGUGAAUUUUUUUUGGGUUUCCAGUUUAUAUAAUUGUUUAAGUACUUUAGUUUACUUAGAUUAAAGUUAAGAGUUUGAUGGAAUUUGAGUGUAUUAGUUGGAAAAUUAGGGAUUUACUAUAACCAGGUCACUCAUUCAUUCAACUUUUUUUUUUUAAAUUGUUUUGAUUCAUCUAUUUCUUUUUUCUCAUCUGAACUAAUGUUAGAUACUUUAAUCAAGGUUUAUAUACUCUGUCAUCAUAUUUUCUUUGUUUAUAUUCUUAUUUAAAUGAUUAUGGAGGGUUGUUUUGUGUAUUUAAUAUUUUAAUUUAUUAUAGUUCUAUAUUAGUUUGGGAAAAAAUUGUUUGAAUUGAUGUGUGUUUGCAGUUUUUGCUCAACACAAAUUUUUAUUACUGUACGUAAUUAUUACCUUGGUUCAUGCUGAAGAGAAAUAUGUUGCAAAUUAGAAUGUUUGAUUACUUUCAGUUUGGUUUCUUACAAAAUGUAUGAAAUUCUAGAAGAAAUAAGAACCCAUUGUCUGAGGGUUUAGCUUUAUUGGGUUUAUGGGGUUCUUGAUUUGGUUUUUCUUUUUUUAGGGUUCUUUUUGAUUGGUUUGAUGUUUACAAUUAUGUUUCUUGGUUAAAUUGAUCAGCAUUUCGUCUUGGGCUUCCCUUUGUGCAGAGUUAUCUUGGGCAGACUAGCUCUGUUGAUUACACUUCCGCGGUUCAAUAUAUAUAUCAGUCAUAAUUUGUAAUAGUUUAUUUUCAAGUAAAAUGAGUGAAUGGAUUUGGUUCGCAGACCAUUUUCUGCUUAUAAUUUCAAAAACUUGUUCAAAAAUUGUAUUAUGAGCCCAAAUAGUGACACUUAGUAAAUGGAUGGAAGCUAACCUGAAUAUCAAAAUAGAUUAUUCUCAAUAAUACGGGUGUUCUAUUUAUUAUUUGCUUGCUACUGUUCAAAUAUGUUACCUUGAUAAGAUCAUCUAUUAAACAUCUAGACAUUUGACAUAAUAAUAAACCGUAACAGUAGUAGCCAAGGAUAUUAUCCAAAAAGCUAUGACACAAGUGAGUAUGUCGCUUUUCAAAUUACAUAUUACGACAAAGAAGAAAGGAGAAUUCAUGGGUGCAUGGGUGCAUUCAUAGCAGUAGCAACAAGCUCCCCUUUGCCACUCCUUCCUGCACGGCAUAAUCAAACAAUAAUUCUUGACAUCAUGAACGAUACUACAAUAUAUAUUAAGAAUGAAAAGUGAUGGGUCAUCACAAACCUGAGCUUCCAUGGUACUGGCACCAAGAUGUGGUGUUACAGUUACAUUUUCAUGUUGUACCAACUUGCUGUCCUUCGGCGGUGGCUCUAGUGUGAAAACAUCAAGUUAAUAAGCUUCAAAGCCCUGCCAAUUUUAGUGCAAUAUAAACUUAAUCAGUGUUUCAAAAUUCAACUAAAUACAGUUACUAUGCCUACCUUAUCAAGCUACUCUUUUCAACCCUAACAAAGCCACUUUACAGUAUCAACCUUCCUUCCAACAACAGUAUGUCCUUACAAUCCAAAACAAAAAACAUAAAAGACAUGUCAAGUUAUUUUUAAUGGGUUACUUUUACCAAUAUCAGAGUUCAGAACAACCACUUUAAUCAAACAAUAAGCAAGUGCUUUUUUUUCUAUUUAAGUUUUCAAUACCUUACCCAACCAAUCCCAAAUAAAAGUAUUACCUAUAUGCGUUGAAAUUAGUCCCUAACAGUUGUAUGUUGUUUUCCAUUUCACAUACUGCUUUGCCUGCCUUUAGUGAUUUCAAAUUUUAUCACCUAUGGUUUGUCUAGAAUUUUUUGUGGAAAGAGUGCUACAGUUUUGAUAUAGGUUGUUAAUGGAGUUUGGGUUCAAAAGAAUAAAAAGAUAGAACGCAAAGAGGAUUCAUUGAAAAACACAAAGAAAAAUACAAAGAUUUCUAAAAUUAGGGUCAAGGAACAAAAGCUCAAGACCAUUGAUUGAGUUAAAAAAAAUAAAAAGAAAGAAGUAAAGAAUGGAAAAUGAGCGGUUGGAAGAAAAAAUAUUUCUAUUUCAUUGUAAUCCAUUGACUGCUGAUUGCCAAAGGGUCCUUAUACCUAGCAGUAGUAAAUUAAUAUUCUAUUUAAUUACACUUGCUUAAGAAAUGCUUUGAACUUUGAAUUAAGUCUAUUACUUGACAACUAUUUAUGUGGAGAAACUUUUAAAUUUAUUUUUUAUUGUUUCUUUCCUUUCUGAUGUAUCGAAUUGAAUUCAUCUGAAUACUGAAUUCCACACUUUCAUGUGCCUCCUAAUGAGUAAUGACUAUGAUCUAUUAGCUUGACUUAUUAAACUGGGAAUCACAUUAUCCGUUAUGUUAUGUUAGGUUGAUUGGAGUGAGCUAUAUAUUUGGCUAUUCUUUUUGUUUUCUUCCAGAAAAUCAAAUUCGUUGAAAUCCUUUUCAUGGACAUUAUUCUUAAUAAAAAAUGACACCAAUUAAAGAAGUUAAACAUAAGAUGUUAAUAAAAUAAACUCAAUCUUUUAUUCUGAUUCAACUUCCAACAGUUUGAAACCUCAACUAUCAUCAAAAUUGAGGGAAUUCCUCUCUUACAGAACAAUAUAUAGUAAAACAAAAAAAAAAGAAAAAAAAAAGAGCUAGGCUCGGAAGAUUUGGAACAAUAGUAUUGAAUGUAUUUUUGAAACAAAGCAUAGUUUUGAUCAAAUGUUAAGUUUUUGUCAUGAUAUUCAAGAUACGAAAUCUGUCUUUGCAGCUUCAUUUGCUCAUGUUUAACUCAUGUUUAAUUUAUUAAGUUUGCUCUUACAGGUUGAUCUAAGUGAUAGUAACAACAUACCUGUCAAUGUUUUGUCUGAAUGUACGCUUAAUCAAUUACAUAUGGAGAAGGUAACACUACUGGUAUUGUUAAAAAAAAUUAUUUUGAUAUUAGUUUGUAUUUUUUUGACUAAUGUCUUAUUUUGUACUUCCUAGGAGAAUUCACAUGUAAAUCACUUGAAUAACCCAAGUGUUAUUCCAUCUUCAACGAAGGGGAAAGAAAAAAUUGGUUGUUCUAUUGGAAAAGAAAAUUGGUUUAAUCAACUGGUGUGUUGUACUAAUCAUUGCUUAUCUUUUGAUAAAAAUUGUCGGUGAUAUUUUUGAGUUCCUCACCCCUCAAUCUCAGUCUCACUCUCAUUCUCACUCUCACACUUCUCUCUCACGCACACACGACUCCAUACCAUCAUCGAAUAGAAUUGUCUAGGUGUGAAAGUCUAUCUGACUAAGACUAUAUUUCUCGACUUCUCAUGUAAACACACAACACACAAUACAUGCAAAAACACACACACAUAAUUGUAACCAAUUAAACACUCGUAAAUCAAACUUACACACCAUUAUACUGCCACCAAUACAGAUUUAUGAGUUAAAUCAUCAAUCAAAUGAACCGUUUGUUGAAAUGGUACUAAGAAUACUUUAGUUGAUUGUAAGUCUACAUUCUUACUUAUAUCAAUCUCUCUAAAUUCUUACUUAUAUCAAUCUAAAUCAUUCCUUCCAUUACAUACAAAUGUGUGUGCUCAUUUGUUUUUUAGAUAAUUCAGGGUAAAAGAAGGGUUCUUAUGUUUUGAAUUUACAGUUGUUUUAUUUUGACUCACAUAUUUCAAUAAUUUUAUAUUUCAAAUAUUUUCAGGUAUAUUGAAGGAUACUUGGUGUAAGUUGUAAAGUAAUGGGUCUUAUAUAACAUGUUGUUUCUCUAUUUUCUGCCCAUUUGUAUUUUUUGUGUUCCGUCUUUUGUAAAGUUAAUUAAUUAUACAUGGUUAUGAUGAUUUUUGGGUAUGGAAUGAUGGUUUUUUUGGUGGUUUGGAUAUGUAUUAAUGAUUGUAAGUUUUGUAGACAAGUUUAGAAUUUUUCGAAUAUCUAUUUUUAAAGGAAACUCUGCCGAAAUUUCGUGAAAUUAGUACCAACUAGCUCGAUGUUUUGGUGGUUGGAUAUGUAUUAAUGAUUGAGUAUGUAUGUCUUUAGAUAAUGUGAUAUUUUUUGAAUUUAAUUUUAAUUUUAAUGUUUUGCAAUUUACGUCAGGUAAUUGGUUAAUGACUUUUGUUACGUUCCAAGUAAUCAGCAAACUUCUUUCUUGGUAGAAAAAUUGUUUUGUCAGAUUUAUGAUUUGAAAUGCUCUUCAUUUGUUAGUUUUAAAUGGUCAAUCAAAGAUCAGACUUCUCUUUUGCGCUGUUUAAAGAUGGAGUAUUAAAUGUAUGUGUAGAGAUGCUUUAAUUACUUUGGUUAUACACAUUUUCCUUAAGAGUUUUACAAAGCAGGAAAACUAAAAGCGUUUUCCCCAAGGAAAAGUAGGUUCUCAAUCCAAAUUGCAAGCCACCAAUGUGUCUGAAAGUUGGAGAGCAUGCAUGUUUCCCCCAAACAGUGAGACAGAGCUUCAAAGAUGGUUUCUGGAUGCCUACCUUGACCCAAAACAGAAGAUAUACAUACCCAAG
rnacentral:lncRNA from 1 species